UGGACUUCAAGACCCGAGGAUGGGCUGUUGGCCUACUGGAGUCCUUGCCCUCAAGUAAGUACAAAGUUCCAUACACAGGUGGAUGAGCACAAGCUGGGCUAUUAGCUCACUGGGGCUCUAGCGUUCAGGUAAGUACAGAGUUCAGAACACAGGUAGGUAUUCACCGGGCUGAGCUGUUAGUGUGCAGGGGAUCUAGCUCCCAGGUAAGUACGAAGUUCAAUACACAGGUGAGUAUUCACAGGGCUGGGCUGUUAGCGUGCAGGGGUUCUAGCUCUCAGGUAAGUACAGCGUUCAAUACACAGGUGGGUAUUCACAGGGCUGGGCUGUUAACUGGCUACUUACCACUGAAGAUAUUCAGAGGUCGGUAUUCCAAGCAGAUACGGGUUUGGUCGAUGACUGACGGCUGGUGGGCCUUACAGGUGAGACUUCAAACAAUACUGGGCUUUCCGCCCAGCUUGACAAGGGGGCACACGGGGGAGGAUCGGCUGUUGUCCUUCGCUUCCCUCGUCGAAGAGACAGCACAGACGACACGCACAAGGCCGGUGGUUGCUGACAAGGCCAAUGACACAACGUCACAUGGACAAAAAGGGUAAGGCUUUGAUUUAAAAGCUUACAGAGAUCGCUGCGUG